rnacentral:rRNA from 1 species
AUGCCCUCCCGGCGGGCGAGCCUGGCGAUCCGGCUGACGACGUGGAAGGAGGCGGCGCUGUCGAGGCCGCUGGUGGGCUCGUCCAGGAACAGCAGCGCCGGCCGGGUGAGGAUCUCCAUGCAGAUGCUGACCCGGCGCCGCUGGCCGCCGCUGAUCCCCUUGUGCAUCCACCCGCCGAUGCGCGUGUCCGCCGCGCCCUCCAGCCCCAUCUCCCGCAGCGUCUCUUCCGCCCGCUCCCGCUUCGCCGCCGCCGACAUGCCGCUCGGCAGCUGCAGCGACGCCGAGUAG